AGGGGGCUAGCGUUGUUCGGAAUCACUGGGCGUAAAGGGCGCGUAGGCGGCCGAUCAAGUCGGGGGUGAAAGCCUGUGGCUUAACCACAGAAUGGCCUUCGAUACUGUUUGGCUUGAGACCGGAAGAGGUUAGUGGAACUGCGAGUGUAGAGGUGAAAUUCGUAGAUAUUCGCAAGAACACCAGUGGCGAAGGCGGCUGACUGGUCCGGUUCUGACGCUGAGGCGCGAAAGCGUGGGGAGCAAACAGG
rnacentral:rRNA from 1 species